rnacentral:lncRNA from 10 species
CUGGUCUCCAACUCCCGACCUCAGGUGAUCUGCUCGCCUCAGCCUCCCAAAUUGUUGGGAUUACAGGUGUAAGCCACCGCGCUCAGCCAAUUUUUGUAUUUUUAGUAGAAACAGGGUUUUACCAUGUUGGCCAGGCUGAUCUCGAACUCCGGGAGGCUGAGGUGGGAGGAUCACUUGAGCCCGGGAGGCGGAGAUUGCAGUGAGCCAAGAUCACAUCACUGCACUCCAGCCUGGGUGACAGAGCAAGACUCUAUCUCAAGAAAACACACACACAAAAAUAUGAAUGCAGCUGGGGUGGAGCACAAACAUUGAACCCCUAACAGAAUACCAUGAUCAAACUUUCAUUUUGCAAAGAUCCUGCUGGUGGCCGUGUGCGGGACCACCACAGAUGGCUGUGCCAGAGUGCACUACGUGAAGCAGUACGCCCCAGAAGCACUGCUCACAUCCCAGACAUCAUGUAUUUGAAUAUUUAUUAUAACAAUUAUCUGACAGGUGGAGGUACAGUGUCAUGAGGAAAGAAUGCCUUUAACUAAUUUCCACCAAGGUGCAGUCAAGUUGGCAGUAGCUCUGGCUCUGUGAAGGUUGAUGGGGAGAUCAGUUAGGAAUCACCCAGGCCAAAAAUAAUGAGGCCUGCACCGAGGCCUAAAGGUGGGGAUGGAACAUCCAUUACACAGGUGUGUCAUGGGGGGAAAUUUGUCAGACACGAUUGCAGAUUGGAACAGGUGAUGAAGGAGGGAGGAGGGUCCUAGAUCACUCCUGGGUCUCUUGCUGUUACUGUAUGUGGAGUAAGUUUGAUGGAAUAAGAGAAAGAUCUUGGCUGGGCGUGGUGGCUCAUGCCUGUAAUCCCAGCACUUUGGGAGGCCGAGGUGGGCAGAUCACAUGGUCAGGAGUUCGAGACCAACCUGUUCAGCAUGGUGUAAUCCCGUCUCUACUAAAAAUACAAAAAUUAGCCAGGCAUGAUGGUGCGAACCUGUAAUCUUAGCUACUCAGGAGGCCGAGGCAGGAGAAUCACUUGAACCCGGAGGCAGAGGUUGCAGUGAGCUGAGAUUAUGCCACUGCACUCCAGCCUGGGCAACAAGCGAGACUCCAUCUCAAAAAAAAAAAGUGAAAGAUCUUGAAAUACAUUGCCUUUAUAAAUCUUACCAGCAAACUACUAGGAAAUGUAAAAAUGCCAUUUAUAGAAAUCUAUAGUACCUGGCAGGGUGCAAUGAACACUUGCUUUGCUCACCACUGUGUCUCUAUGUAGCAUCAGAGCAUCGUCCUGGUACAAAGAGUGGGGCCUGAAUAAAGAUUUACUGGUUAAUGGAUGGAUAGGUCAAAUGGGUAUUCAUUCUUUUGUUCCUGAGCACAACAGGUGUAAUAGGUCCUGUGCCAGGUGGCACGGGGAGGCAGAGAUUAGUCAAAUGGGGGCCAGGUGCGGUGGCUCACACCUAUAAUCCCAGCACUUUGGGAGGCCGAGGCGGGCAGAUCACCUGAGUGCUUCUCAAGUGGCUGGGAUUGCAGGCACACACUACCAUACCCAGCUAAUUUUUUUGUGUAUUUUUAGUAGAGAUGGGGUUUCAUCACGUUGGCCAGGCUGGUCUUGAACUCCUGACCUCAAGUGAUCCACCCGCCUCAGCCUUCCAAAGUGCUGGAAUUACAGGCAUGAGCCACUGUGCCCAGCCUCAUAUGCUGAAUCUCUAAUCUCCAAUGUGAUGGGAGUAGGAGGUGAGGCCUUUGAAAGGUAACUAGGUUUAGAUGAGAUCCCAAGGGUGGAGGAUCAUGAGGAUGAUGGGACUCGUGCCAUUAUUUAAAAAGGAAGAAGGCCAGGCAUGGUGGCUCAUGCCUGUAAUCACAGGAAUUUGGGAGGCCAAGGCGGGUGGAUCACUUGAGCUCAGAAGUUCAAGAACAGGCUGGGCAACAUGGCAAAACCCUUCUCUACCAAAAAUACAAGAAAACUAGCUGGGCAUGGUGCAUGCACCUGUAGUACCAGCU